CCUACGGGAGGCAGCAGUAGGGAAUUUUGCGCAAUGGGCGAAAGCCUGACGCAGCAACGCCGCGUGAUUGAUUAAGCCCUUCGGGGUGUAAAGAUCUGUCAGUGGGGACGAAACUUGACGGUACCCACAGAGGAAGCACCGGCUAACUCCGUGCCAGCAGCCGCGGUAAUACGGAGGGUGCAAGCGUUGCCCGGAAUCAUUGGGCGUAAAGAGUUAGUAGGUUGCAUAGUAAGUCUGGUGUUAAAUGCAGAGGCUCAACUUCUGUUCGGCACUGGAUACUGGUAAGCUUGAAGGCGGUAGAGGUAAAGGGAAGUCCUGGUGUAGCGGUGAAAUGCGUAGAUAUCAGGAGGAACAUCGGUGGCGUAGGCGCUUUACUGGGCCGUAAUUGACACUGAGGAACGAAAGCCGGGGUAGCAAAUGGGAUUAGAUACCCUAGUAGUC
rnacentral:rRNA from 1 species